rnacentral:lncRNA from 1 species
CCAAAAGCCACCCAACUGAAAAGGUCUUCUUGACUUCCUGGACUAUGAUGAACGGUCGUCUUGAGAAGACCCCCUACACCAAAUGCGCGUAUCGGAACCUACUCACUCAGAACAGCAUGGGUUAGUUCCACUUACUGGUUUAAGAAAGCUCAACGGGCAGAGGAAAAAUAAAAGCUGCUGUCUCCCUAAAAGCCUCACUAUAAUACCUGUAGGGUAUUACAUAGCUGUGACUGGAUUUAAUCAGUUAAGGUCAUAAUCAUUAGCAUUCAUUAGUGUCUUUUGAAGUCUUAAGGAGGUCCAGGGAGAUUCAGAUCCUGAAGUGAUUUUGUUUUGGCUGUUGCCUGCUGGGAAACCAAGAUAAGAGCCUCCAGAGACCGCAAAUACAAUAGAGGUUCACA